GACGAACGCUGGCGGCGUGCUUAACACAUGCAAGUCGAACGGAAAGGCCCUGCUUUUGUGGGGUGCUCGAGUGGCGAACGGGUGAGUAACACGUGAGUAACCUGCCCUUGACUUUGGGAUAACUUCAGGAAACUGGGGCUAAUACCGGAUAGGAGCUCCUGCUGCAUGGUGGGGGUUGGAAAGUUUCGGCGGUUGGGGAUGGACUCGCGGCUUAUCAGCUUGUUGGUGGGGUAGUGGCUUACCAAGGCUUUGACGGGUAGCCGGCCUGAGAGGGUGACCGGCCACAUUGGGACUGAGAUACGGCCCAGACUCCUAUGGGAGGCAGUAGUGGGGAGUAUUGCACAAUGGGCGGAAGCCUGAUGCAGCAACGCCGCGUGCGGGAUGACGGCCUUCGGGUUGUAAACCGCUUUCGCCUGUGACGAAGCGUGAGUGACGGUAAUGGGUAAAGAAGCACCGGCUAACUACGUG
rnacentral:rRNA from 1 species